AAUAGAUACCCAGGUAGUCCACGCCGUAAACGAUGAGUGCUAAGUGUUAGAGGGUUUCCGCCCUUUAGUGCUGCAGCUAACGCAUUAAGCACUCCGCCUGGGGAGUACGGCCGCAAGGCUGAAACUCAAAGGAAUUGACGGGGGCCCGCACAAGCGGUGGAGCAUGUGGUUUAAUUCGAAGCAACGCGAAGAACCUUACCAGGUCUUGACAUCCUCUGCCAACCCUAAAGAUAGGGCGUUCCCCUUCGGGGGACAGAGUGACAGGUGGUGCAUGGUUGUCGUCAGCUCGUGUCGUGAGAUGUUGGGUUAAGUCCCGCAACGAGCGCAACCCUUGAUCUUAGUUGCCAGCAUUCAGUUGGGCACUCUAAGGUGACUGCCGGUGACAAACCGGUGGAAGGUGGGGAUGACGUCAAAUCAUCAUGCCCCUUAUGACCUGGGCUACACACGUGCUACAAUGGAUGGUACAAAGAGCUGCGAACCCGCGAGGGUAAGCGAAUCUCAUAAAGCCAUUCUCAGUUCGGAUUGUAGG
rnacentral:rRNA from 1 species